rnacentral:rRNA from 1 species
ACCGGCAGCUCAAGUGGUGGCCAUUUUUAUUGGGCCUAAAGCGUUCGUAGCCGGUUUGUUAAGUCUCUGGUGAAAUCCCGCGGCUUAACUGUGAGACUUGCUGGAGAUACUAUUAGACUUGAGGCCGGGAGAGGUUAGGGGUACUCCCAGGGUAGGGGUGAAAUCCUAUAAUCCUUGGAGGACCACCUGUGGCGAAGGCGCCUAACUGGAACGAACCUGACGGUGAGGAACGAAAGCCGGGGGAGCAAACCG